rnacentral:lncRNA from 1 species
CCAGGUGAGGAAACAGAUUUAGAGAAACGACCUGACUUACCCCACUGCCGGAAAUAGCGGGCCGAGGCAGUGCCGCAGAUAGUCAAUGUCAGCUUUCGAAGAGGCUUUUGGGAUUGGCUUAGCCUGAGCUCGAAAACUGGUGGCCCAAGGCAAAGGUGAAUCAGGAGGAUGCUGAGACAGGGCAGCCUGAGAAUCAAGCAGAGAUUGUGAAAAAUAACUACUAAGCCCUGCAUGGAGGCGCAUGCCUGUGAUCCCAGUGGCUUGGGAGCCUAAGAAAAAAAGGAUCAGAAGGAAACCAGGAUGGUAACUAGAACGUUAACAGCAAGAGGCCCGCAGAGCCAUGG